GGACUACUCGGGUAUCUAAUCCUGUUUGCUCCCCACGCUUUCGUGCAUGAGCGUCAGUAUCGGCCCAGGAGGCUGCCUUCGCCAUCGAUAUUCCUCCACAUCUCUACGCAUUUCACUGCUACACGUGGAAUUCUGCCUCCCUCUGCCAUACUCUAGCCUAUCAGUCACGGAUGCCAUUCCCAGGUUAAGCCCGGGGCUUUCACAUUCGUCUUGAUAAACCGCCUGCGCACCCUUUACGCCCAGUCAUUCCGAUUAACGCUCGCACCCUACGUAUUACCGCGGCUGCUGGCAC
rnacentral:rRNA from 1 species